GGAGCGGUAGUUCAGUUGGUUAGAAUACCUGCCUGUCACGCAGGGGUCGCGGGUUCGAGCCCCGUCCGUUCCGCCA
rnacentral:tRNA from 5 species